AGGACUUGGAAGGGCCUAGCAUACUCUUUGUGUACAAGAUGGAUGAGGGAGUGUCAGGACCAGCAGUGCAGAGCUGGGGGAGACUAAAACAAACCUUUCCAAGAGCCUUACUGCUUGUCCUACAAGAAGCAAGCAUUGAGAGGAUUUGGUGGCAAAUGUUCAUGAUUCUAUCACCUGAUGACACAGAAAAGAGAACUAAACUCAGCCUUCAAGUACUCCCACCCAUUUGUUCUGGUACCAUGCAGUGAGUUUGAUUUCUCGA